rnacentral:ncRNA from 1 species
AAUGAUGGUUUUUAACUUUUCAUUUUAGGUUUAUGGAAUUUUUCAUACAAGAAAAUAGGCUCCACAAUUCCUACAGUGGACUGACCCACUGCAGAAAUUAUAGAGUC